CUUUUGUCUUUUGGUUUUACAUGUUUGAUUAUGACAAGUUUGUGUGUAUGAAGCAAAGUUUUCUUUCCUUUUUUCAGCUGUCAGAUAUUCAACUUUCAAAAUGGGGAGUGAUGCUAACCUGACAUGCAGGGAUAAGACAUGGAAGGAGACGAUGUAUGUUAUCUGGAAAAUAAGCUUGAAAAACAGUAAAGAGUGCAGGAUGUCCUUUAGCAAUGAUGGCCAAGGUGAAGACCUCUGCAAUGAUGGCAAGUCACUCCGAAAUUCAAUGAAAGCUCAUCCGUACCUGCACAUCCCAAACUUUUCCAAUGACGAUGUGGGGAUCUACAGGUGUGAGUCGGCUUUUAAAGGAGGAAUGGAAAAUUAUGAGAUCAACGUGGCUAUCACAGUUCGUCCCACUAUAUCAGCCUGGUUAGAGCGUGAGAACAACAAGAUGGUGGCAGUGUGCACGGCUGAAAGAGGAAAACCUGCCGCCAACAUCAGCUGGAGUCAUACGGGAAACUCACCGCCUGUGGAAACACUGUCUGAAUCACAUGGAUUUUUUACAGCAGAAAGUCGUCUGGAGCUCACUGAAGGAGUGGAUGUAAAAAACCUGAGCUGUGCUGUCAGCCACCCGUACUGGACAGAGGAACAAAUAUUGGUACCAAAACCAAAACCCCCGAAAGGUCAGGCUUUAGCAGAAUGUAUGGCUUCUUUUUAUGUUUUGUGGUUGAAAACUGAAUACAUUAAUUAUAACUUUGUGUGUAGAUGUGAUUUGCAUGUCCAGAACAUUAUUAACAAACCUUUAAUCUUCACUCUCUCAUGCAGGUUAUAUGCAUCUUAUUUUGCGGCCCAUCAUUAUUGUUUCGGUGUUAGCUGUGGGUUCAACAGGUUUAUAUUUUCAUUACAAAACAAAAAGACGUUGAGGUGAUGCCAGCAGUCCGUCACGCCACAAUCCAAAUCUGCAUUGAAUGUGGAAGAAGUGGUGACUCCACUGACUCUACUUCAGAAACUGAAGUUUGCCACCUGCUGGUAGAGAUCAGAAAAUACUCCAUCAUCGUCAUCAUCACCAUGUGUUGUAUCUUAGUCUGUCAUUAGGAUCUGAAAAUAAUGCUUAAACCUGCAGUUUUACUAUUAUACUACUAUAUACUAGAUCAUUAUGACUUGUGCUCUUAAGAAAAAUAUGGAUUUUAUUGUUUUAGUUGGUUAAGGUGGAGCUAACU